GAUGAACGCUGGCGGCGUGCCUAAUACAUGCAAGUCGAGCGAACGGACGAGACGCUUGCUUCUUUGUUGUUAGCGGCGGACGGGUGAGUAACACGUGUAUAACCUCCUUAUCAUACUGGGAUAACCUCGGGAAACCGGAGCUAAUACCGGAUGAUAUUUUGAACCGCAUGGUUCAAAAGUGAAAGACGGUCUUUCUGUCACUUAUAGAUGGUUCUGGGCUGCAUGAGCUAGUUGGUACGGUAACGGCUUACCAAGGCAACGAUGCAUAGCCGACGGGAGAGGGGGAUCGGCCACCUUGGAACUGGGACACGGUCCAGAGUCCUACGGGAGGCAGCAGUCGGGAAUGUGACGCAAUGGGCGAAAGCCUGACGGAGCGGCGGCGCGUGAGUGAUGAAGGUCUUCGGAUCGUAAAACUCUGUUAUUAGGGAAGAACAUAUGUGUAAGUAACUGUGCACAGCUUGACGGUACCUAAUCAGAAAGCAACGGCUAACUACGUG
rnacentral:rRNA from 1 species